rnacentral:rRNA from 1 species
CAGCAGUCGCCGCGGGAAUACAGAGGGUGCGAGCGUUAAUCGGAUUUACUGGGCGUAAAGCGUGCGUAGGCGGCUUCUUAAGUCGGAUGUGAAAUCCCUGAGCUUAACUUAGGAAUUGCAUUCGAUACUGGGAAGCUAGAGUAUGGGAGAGGAUGGUAGAAUUCCAGGUGUAGCGGUGAAAUGCGUAGAGAUCUGGAGGAAUACCGAUGGCGAAGGCAGCCAUCUGGCCUAAUACUGACGCUGAGGUACGAAAGCAUGGGGAGCAAACAGGAUUAGAUACCCGUGUAGUCCCUGUCUCUUAUAC